rnacentral:rRNA from 1 species
AGAAUCAACGCUGGCGGCGUGCCUAACACAUGCAAGUCGAACGAGAACGGGUAGCAAUACCUUAGUAAAGUGGCGCACGGGUGAGUAACACGUGACUAACCUACCCUGGAGUGGGGGAUAACUGAGAGAAAAUCUUAGCUAAUACCGCAUAACACCUACGGGUCAAAGGAGCAAUUCGCUUCAGGAGGGGUCGCGGCAGAUUAGAUAGUUGGCGGGGUAAUGGCCCACAAGUCAGUGAUCUGUA